GAACGGAGGUGAGAACCCUUAAGGGCGCAUCAUCGACCGAUCCAGAUGUCUUUGGAUGGAUUUGAGUAUGAGCAUAGCUGUUGGGACCCGAAAGAUGGUGAACUAUGCCUGAAUAGGGUGAAGCCAGAGGAAACUCUGGUGGA
rnacentral:rRNA from 1 species